UAUUGAACAACGCAAAUUUUACACACUCACGAAAAGCAUUUUCUUUGGAGAGACCCGUCGCCUACGGGUGAUGUGAGGUCUCCAUGAGAACGAAAACCGUCAUGUGAAGUGGAGAACAAGUUAUUUGGCUGAUCUUGGGUGCGGUUUCUCCCUGCUUUUGCAGUGGGAGAGAGCGCAAUGAUUGGUCGUACAU
rnacentral:snRNA from 1 species